rnacentral:rRNA from 1 species
CCUACGGGCGGCAGCAGUGAGGAAUAUUGGUCAAUGGGCGCGAGCCUGAACCAGCCAAGUCGCGUGAGGGAAGACGGUCCUAUGGAUUGUAAACCUCUUUUGUCGGGGAGUAAAAGACGCCACGCGUGGCGUUCUGAGUGUACCCGAUGAAAAAGGAUCGGCUAACUCCGUGCCAGCAGCCGCGGUAAUACGGAGGAUCCGAGCGUUAUCCGGAUUUAUUGGGGUUAAAGGGUGCGUAGGCGGAUGGUUAAGUCAGUUGGUAAAUUGUGAGGCUCAACCGUAACAGUGCGAUUGAGAAUGGCAGUCGGGAGGACAGUUGAGGUAGGCGGAAGUCGUGGUGUAGAGGUGAAAUGCUUAGAUAUCAAGAAGAA